GAUGAACGCUGGCGGCGUGCCUAAUACACGCAAGUCGAGCGAAAAGACGAGGAGCUUGCUCCUCUGACGUUAGCGGCGGACGGGUGAGUAACAAGUGGAUAACCUACCUAUUAGACUGGGAUAACUUCGGGAAACCGGAGCCAAUACCGGCUAAUAUAUUGAACCGCAUGGUUCAAUAGUGAAAGACGGUUUUGCUGUUACUUAUAGAUGGAUCCGCGCCGCAUUAGCUAGUUGGUAAGGUAACGGCUUACCAAGGCAACGAUGCGUAGCCGACCUGAGAGGGUGAUCGGCCACACUGGAACUGAGACACGGUCCAGACUCCUACGGGAGGCAGCAGUAGGGAAUCUUCCGCAAUGGGCGAAAGCUUGACGGAGCAACGCCGCGUGAGUGAUGAAGGUCUUCGGAUCGUAAAACUCUGUUAUUAGGGAAGAACAAAUGUGUAAGUAACUAUGCACGUCUUGACGGUACCUAAUCAGAAAGCCACGGCUAACUACGUG
rnacentral:rRNA from 1 species